ACAGCCCCGUACACAAAAAUGCACAUGCUGUGAGCUCGAUGAGUAGGGCGGGACACGUGGUAUCCUGUCUGAAUAUGGGGGGACCAUCCUCCAAGGCUAAAUACUCCUGACUGACCGAUAGUGAACCAGUACCGUGAGGGAAAGGCGAAAAGAACCCCGGCGAGGGGAGUGAAAAAGAACCUGAAACCGUGUACGUACAAGCAGUGGGAGCACGCUUCGGCGUGUGACUGCGUACCUUUUGUAUAAUGGGUCAGCGACUUAUAUUCUGUAGCAAGGUUAACCGAAUAGGGGAGCCGAAGGGAAACCGAGUCUUAACUGGGCGUUAAGUUGCAGGGUAUAGACCCGAAACCCGGUGAUCUAGCCAUGGGCAGGUUGAAGGUUGGGUAACACUAACUGGAGGACCGAACCGACUAAUGUUGAAAAAUUAGCGGAUGACUUGUGGCUGGGGGUGAAAGGCCAAUCAAACCGGGAGAUAGCUGGUUCUCCCCGAAAGCUAUUUAGGUAGCGCCUCGUGAAUUCAUCUCCGGGGGUAGAGCACUGUUUCGGCAAGGGGGUCAUCCCGACUUACCAACCCGAUGCAAACUGCGAAUACCGGAGAAUGUUAUCACGGGAGACACACGGCGGGUGCUAACGUCCGUCGUGAAGAGGGAAACAACCCAGACCGCCAGCUAAGGUCCCAAAGUCAUGGUUAAGUGGGAAACGAUGUGGGAAGGCCCAGACAGCCAGGAUGUUGGCUUAGAAGCAGCCAUCAUUUAAAGAAAGCGUAAUAGCUCACUGGUCGAGUCGGCCUGCGCGGAAGAUGUAACGGGGCUAAACCAUGCACCGAAGCUGCGGCAGCGACACUAUGUGUUGUUGGGUAGGGGAGCGUUCUGUAAGCCUGCGAAGGUGUACUGUGAGGUAUGCUGGAGGUAUCAGAAGUGCGAAUGCUGACAUAAGUAACGAUAAAGCGGGUGAAAAGCCCGCUCGCCGGAAGACCAAGGGUUCCUGUCCAACGUUAAUCGGGGCAGGGUGAGUCGACCCCUAAGGCGAGGCCGAAAGGCGUAGUCGAUGGGAAACAGGUUAAUAUUCCUGUACUUGGUGUUACUGCGAAGGGGGGACGGAGAAGGCUAUGUUGGCCGGGCGACGGUUGUCCCGGUUUAAGCGUGUAGGCUGGUUUUCCAGGCAAAUCCGGAAAAUCAAGGCUGAGGCGUGAUGACGAGGCACUACGGUGCUGAAGCAACAAAUGCCCUGCUUCCAGGAAAAGCCUCUAAGCAUCAGGUAACAUCAAAUCGUACCCCAAACCGACACAGGUGGUCAGGUAGAGAAUACCAAGGCGCUUGAGAGAACUCGGGUGAAGGAACUAGGCAAAAUGGUGCCGUAACUUCGGGAGAAGGCACGCUGAUAUGUAGGUGAAGCGACUUGCUCGUGGAGCUGAAAUCAGUCGAAGAUACCAGCUGGCUGCAACUGUUUAUUAAAAACACAGCACUGUGCAAACACGAAAGUGGACGUAUACGGUGUGACGCCUGCCCGGUGCCGGAAGGUUAAUUGAUGGGGUUAGCGGUAACGCGAAGCUCUUGAUCGAAGCCCCGGUAAACGGCGGCCGUAACUAUAACGGUCCUAAGGUAGCGAAAUUCCUUGUCGGGUAAGUUCCGACCUGCACGAAUGGCGUAAUGAUGGCCAGGCUGUCUCCACCCGAGACUCAGUGAAAUUGAACUCGCUGUGAAGAUGCAGUGUACCCGCGGCAAGACGGAAAGACCCCGUGAACCUUUACUAUAGCUUGACACUGAACAUUGAGCCUUGAUGUGUAGGAUAGGUGGGAGGCUUUGAAGUGUGGACGCCAGUCUGCAUGGAGCCGACCUUGAAAUACCACCCUUUAAUGUUUGAUGUUCUAACGUUGGCCCCUGAUCGGGGUUGCGGACAGUGUCUGGUGGGUAGUUUGACUGGGGCGGUCUCCUCCUAAAGAGUAACGGAGGAGCACGAAGGUUGGCUAAUCCUGGUCGGACAUCAGGAGGUUAGUGCAAUGGCAUAAGCCAGCUUGACUGCGAGCGUGACGGCGCGAGCAGGUGCGAAAGCAGGUCAUAGUGAUCCGGUGGUUCUGAAUGGAAGGGCCAUCGCUCAACGGAUAAAAGGUACUCCGGGGAUAACAGGCUGAUACCGCCCAAGAGUUCAUAUCGACGGCGGUGUUUGGCACCUCGAUGUCGGCUCAUCACAUCCUGGGGCUGAAGUAGGUCCCAAGGGUAUGGCUGUUCGCCAUUUAAAGUGGUACGCGAGCUGGGUUUAGAACGUCGUGAGACAGUUCGGUCCCUAUCUGCCGUGGGCGCUGGAGAACUGAGGGGGGCUGCUCCUAGUACGAGAGGACCGGAGUGGACGCAUCACUGGUGUUCGGGUUGUCAUGCCAAUGGCACUGCCCGGUAGCUAAAUGCGGAAGAGAUAAGUGCUGAAA
rnacentral:rRNA from 1 species